CACUUCAGGCCAAAUCCAUAUUAUGAAGACCUGGAGAGAAUGGAGGAGGCGGUCAUGUCAAUUCUGCACAACUUAGAGAUGGAGAACACUGAGGUCCAUGAGAACAACCAUAAGCUGAAGAAGGAGAUUACCUUCUCUAGAAACCUGCUCAGCCAGCUCCUGAUGGAGAACACAUGUAGGAAGAAGUUGGUCCCACCGAAGCAGGGGAGCAAGGGGGUACAUCUUGAUUGUGCACUGAACCAGAAAUAUUUGGUUGACUUCAACAAGAAAGAUAAAGAUAAAGAUCAAUUGCCAGAACCAGCAUUAUCAGGUCUCAGAAAGUGCAAGAGAGCUGGAAUUGGACACACAGCAGUAAGAGAGCUUCCUGAAGAAUAAGUUGCUUUCUCAGGAGUCCCUGAUGACCAACAUCCUGAAUGAAAACAGCACUUGAGAGACAACUUGGGGGACCGCCUUUCAUUAUGUGUGCUAGAGGAG
ensembl:lncRNA